GACGAACGCUGGCGGCGUGCUUAACACAUGCAAGUCGAACGGAAAGACCCUGCUUUUGUGGGGUGCUCGAGUGGCGAACGGGUGAGUAACACGUGAGUAACCUGCCCUUGACUUUGGGAUAACUUCAGGAAACUGGGGCUAAUACCGGAUAGGAGCUCCUGCUGCAUGGUGGGGGUUGGAAAGUUUCGGUGGUUGGGGAUGGACUCGCGGCUUAUCAGCUUGUUGGUGGGGUAGUGGCUUACCAAGGCUUUGACGGGUAGCCGGCCUGAGAGGGUGACCGGCCACAUUGGGACUGAGAUACGGCCCAGACUCCUACGGGAGGCAGCAGUGGGGAAUAUUGCACAAUGGGCGGAAGCCUGAUGCAGCAACGCCGCGUGCGGGAUGACGGCCUUCGGGUUGUAAACCGCUUUCGCCUGUGACGAAGCGUGAGUGACGGUAAUGGGUAAAGAAGCACCGGCUAACUACGUG
rnacentral:rRNA from 1 species